CAAUAGCGUAUAUUAAAGUUGUUGCGGUUAAAAAGCUCGUAGUUGGAUUUCUGCCGAGGACGACCGGUCCGCCCUCUGGGUGUGUAUCUGGUUUGGCCUGGGCAUCUUCUUGGAGAACGUAGCUGCACUUGACUGUGUGGUGCGGUGUCCAGGACUUUUACUUUGAGGAAAUUAGAGUGUUUCAAGCAGGCACACGCCUUGAAUACAUUAGCAUGGAAUAAUAAGAUAGGACCUCGGUUCUAUUUUGUUGGUUUCUAGAGCUGAGGUAAUGAUUAAUAGGGACAAUUGGGGGCAUUCGUAUUAACGCGUCAGAGGUGGAAUUCUUGGAUUGCGUUACGACGAACUACUGCGAAAGCAUUUGCCAAAGAUGUUUUCAUUGA
rnacentral:rRNA from 1 species